rnacentral:lncRNA from 1 species
AUCAAAUAUGUUUCCGUAAGGCCAGAUUCUUGGGCAAAGUUGUUUUAGCGAUCUGGUUGCAACUAAGGUAAACGUUUAUCAUGCAAAUAUUGCUCUCUCCUUGGCGAUACCUUGUUGGUAGAAGUAGAAUUUAAAAUAUAUUAUUGCCAUUUGCCAGCUGACCUGUGACACAGCAGCAGUGUAUUACAUUUUCAAUGAGCAGUCUGUCUGGAGCUGCUAGUGGGAGAAACUGCUUCCUGGUUUCUAGGGGAGGCAGAUGAUGAAUAAAUGAACAAAAAAUAUAAUAAUGGAUAUGUAUUUAUAAGUGCUAUGAAGAGAAGAAAUCCAAGCAAGAAGAGAGUGAAAUGAGGUAUCCUGUAAGAACAAAUUGCUGCCUCCUCCAGGUGGAAAGGGAUCAAAUAUAAUUAAUCUGUGUGUGCCACACAGUAGCUUGAUAGUUUAAUUGAGGAAUGUUGACAUAUUGAGAGCUCAGCAUUACUUUCUGCUAUCAGCAGUGACGGCAUAAGAGCUGUAUCCUAACUGCACUGCUGAAUUUGGGCUUCCUGUGGGGGCACGGCAAGUGCCCUCUUUGAGAGUGAGGAGGCUGAGAGUCUCACACCAACAGGAAUGAGUGCUUUGAAAUUAACUGGUGUUUGGAAAUUGAUCUGCUGACUGAGCUGGGCUCUCAAGCUCUUCUCGACAACCAUGUAAGAAGCGAUGACAAUUGUACUACUUCAUAACAGCUGCAUGGAACUCUGACACACACUUCACAGCAACCAGUCAUCUAUAUAAACCAAUUUCAGGAGCAAAAUUGCAUGGUGCCUCCACUCUGUUAUAAACACAAUGAUAUCCACUCAAAGCUGAUAAAUGCACUACAUUUCUCUGCAGCUUAAAAGAAUAAGUUCCUUGCAUCUGAGAUUUCCUUCCCACAAAUUAAGUCAUUUUUUUUG